rnacentral:rRNA from 1 species
UACAGAGGUCUCAAGCGUUGUUCGGAUUCAUUGGGCGUAAAGGGUGCGUAGGUGGCGGUGUUAGUCAGGGGUGAAAUCUCGGAGCUCAACUCCGAAACUGCACUUGAUACUGCCUUGCUUGAGUACUGGAGAGGAGAUUGGAAUUUACGGUGUAGCAGUGAAAUGCGUAGAUAUCGUAAGGAAGACCAGUGGCGAAGGCGAAUCUCUGGACAGUUACUGACACUGAGGCACGAAGGCCAGGGGAGCAAACGGG